rnacentral:rRNA from 1 species
UGGGGAAUAUUGGACAAUGGGCGAAAGCCUGAUCCAGCCAUGCCGCGUGUGUGAAGAAGGUCUUCGGAUUGUAAAGCACUUUAAGUUGGGAGGAAGGGCAGUACGCGAAUACCUUGCUGUUUUUACGUUACCGACAGAAUAAGCACCGGCUAACUCUGUGCCAGCAGCCGCGGUAAUACAGAGGGUGCAAGCGUUAAUCGGAAUUACUGGGCGUAUAGCGCGCGUAGGUGGUUCGUUAAGUUGAAUGUGAAAGCCCCGGGCUCAACCUGGGAACUGCAUCCAAAACUGGCGAGCUAGAGUAGGGCAGAGGGUGGUGGAAUUUCCUGUGUAGCGGUGAAAUGCGUAGAUAUAGGAAGGAACACCAGUGGCGAAGGCGACCACCUGGGCUCAUACUGACACUGAGGUGCGAAAGCGUGGGGAGCAAACAGG